rnacentral:ncRNA from 2 species
GGCGGGUACUGCGGGAGCCCGUUGCAGCCGUCACAAAGCGGCCGGGCUGAGAGGGCGUCAGAGCCGACCGCUUGACCUGAUCCGGCUAGUACCGGCGUAGGGAAGGAACAUAUGCCCCCCG